GAUGAACGCUGGCGGCGUGCCUAAUACAUGCAAGUCGAGCGAACGGACGAGAAGCUUGCUUCUCUGAUGUUAGCGGCGGACGGGUGAGUAACACGUGGAUAACCUACCUAUAAGACUGGGAUAACUUCGGGAAACCGGAGCUAAUACCGGAUAAUAUUUUGAACCGCAUGGUUCAAAAGUGAAAGACGGUCUUGCUGUCACUUAUAGAUGGAUCCGCGCUGCAUUAGCUAGUUGGUAAGGUAACGGCUUACCAAGGCAACGAUGCAUAGCCGACCUGAGAGGGUGAUCGGCCACACUGGAACUGGGACACGGUCCAGGCUCCUACGGGAGGCAGCAGUAGGGAAUCUUCCGCAAUGGGCGAAAGCCUGACGGAGCAACGCCGCGUGAGUGAUGAAGGUCUUCGGAUCGUAAAACUCUGUUAUUAGGGAAGAACAUAUGUGUAAGUAACUGUGCACAUCUUGACGGUACCUAAUCAGAAAGCCACGGCUAACUACGUG
rnacentral:rRNA from 1 species